GAACAAUAAUAUGUAUGAUUAUUGAAAUACAUUUAACAUACAAUAAAACAGAACUAAAGGAAGCCUAACUCCUUUAUAUAAUAAUCAUCUCUAAAGCAAAAAAGACCAGUGGUCUUUACUGCAAAAAAUUACUGGGAUAUGACCGAACAUACAAGCAUUUUACAGACUUACUGUUGGUUACAGGCCACACGAUGCAGGUUUGGGUCGUCAUUGUCCGAGUCAUAAGCCUCUUGAUGUUGUCGCGGCUCCUUGCGCCUCAUUUCUUCCUCGAUGUUGACGUCGUGCAUAAUAGUUUCCUCGCACUCAUCUAACUUCAUUUCUGAUGAGCUCUUCCCUGGUUUUGAUGACAGAAUAGUCUCUAUGCUACGGCAUGUGUCAGGGGAAAGAACCCCUGAUUCUGGAAAUACCACAUCAAAAUGGAUAUAAAGCUGUCCCUUAAUGAAAGGCUUGCCAAAAUUGGGCAUGCCUUCAUCAUUUAUUGCCUUGUAAUGAUCAGGCUUUAUAACUUCUCCAGGGUUCGAUUUGAUUAAAAGCUGCCUCCCAUCAAGAUGAGUUAGGACAAACUGAAAGCCACAAAGAGCUUCAGUCAAAGUAAGUGUGUGUUCAAUAUAAAGAUCAUCAAAUUUCCGCUUGAACUUUGGAUGCUCUUUCUGUUGUAGAACAAAAACAAUGUCUCCAGUGAUG
rnacentral:misc_RNA from 1 species